rnacentral:snoRNA from 14 species
CAGUUUUUAAAAGCGAUGAUCAUUCCCAUUAGGUUUUCCAUAUGCUACUUGAGUAGCACUUAACCUGUUGGGAACAUUU